GUGAACGCUGGCGGUAGGCCUAACACAUGCAAGUCGAACGGCAGCACAGUAAGAGCUUGCUCUUACGGGUGGCGAGUGGCGGACGGGUGAGGAAUACAUCGGAAUCUACUUUUUCGUGGGGGAUAACGUAGGGAAACUUACGCUAAUACCGCAUACGACCUACGGGUGAAAGCAGGGGAUCUUCGGACCUUGCGCGAUUGCAUGAGCCGAUGUCGGAUUAGCUCGUUGGCGGGGUAAAGGCCCACCAAGGCGACGAUCCGUAGCUGGUCUGCGAGGAUGAUCAGCCACACUGGAACUGAGACACGGUCCAGACUCCUACGGGAGGCAGCAGUGGGGAAUAUUGGACAAUGGGCGCAAGCCUGAUCCAGCCAUACCGCGUGGGUGAAGAAGGCCUUCGGGUUGUAAAGCCCUUUUGUUGGGAAAGAAAAGCAGCAGGUUAAUACCCCGCUGUUCUGACGGUACCCAAAGAAUAAGCACCGGCUAACUUCGUG
rnacentral:rRNA from 1 species